rnacentral:rRNA from 1 species
GGAUUGCCCUAGUAACGGCGAGUGAAGCGGCAACAGCUCAAAUUUGAAAUCUGGCUCUUUCAGGGUCCGAGUUGUAAUUUGCAGAGGGCGCUUUGGCGUUGGCAGCGGUCCAAGUUCUUUGGAACAGGACGUCACAGAGGGUGAGAAUCCCGUACGUGGUCGCUAGCCUUCGCCGUGUAAAGCCCCUUCGACGAGUCGAGUUGUUUGGGAAUGCAGCUCUAAAUGGGAGGUAAAUUUCUUCUAAAGCUAAAUACUGGCCAGAGACCGAUAGCGCACAAGUAGAGUGAUCGAAAGAUGAAAAGCACUUUGGAAAGAGAGUCAAAUAGCACGUGAAAUUGUUGAAAGGGAAGCGCUUGCAGCCAGACUUGCCUGUAGUUGCUUAUCUGGACUUUUGUCCGGUGCACUCUUCUGCGGGCAGGCCAGCAUCAGUUUGGGCGGUUGGAUAAAGGUCUCUGUCAUGUACCUCCUUUCGGGGAGGCCUUAUAGGGGAGACGACAUGCAACCAGCCUGGACUGAGGUCCGCGCAUCUGCUAGGAUGCUGGCGUAAUGGCUGUAAGCGGCCCGUCUUGAAACACGGACCAAGGAGUCUAACAUCUAUGCGAGUGUUUGGGUGUCAAGCCCAGACGCGUAAUGAAAGUGAACGGAGGUGGGAACCUUUUAGGUGCACCAUCGACCGAUCCUGAUGUCUUCGGAUGGAUUUGAGUAAGAGCAUGGCUGUUGGGACCCGAAAGAUGGUGAACUAUGCUUGAAUAGGGUGAAGCCAGAGGAAACUCUGGUGGAGGCUCGCAGCGGUUCUGACGUGCAAAUCGAUCGUCAAAUUUGGGCAUAGGGGCGAAAGACUAAUCGAACUAUCUAGUAGCUGGUUCCUGCCGAAGUUUCCCUCAGGAUAGCAGUAACGUAUUCAGUUUUAUGAGGUAAAGCGAAUGAUUAGAGGCAUGGGGGUUGAAACAACCUUCACCUAUUCUCAAACUUUAAAUAUGUAAGAAGUCCUUGUUACUUGAUUGAACGUGGACACUUGAAUGUACCGUUACUAGUGGGCCAUUUUUGGUAAGCAGAACUGGCGAUGCGGGAUGAACCGAACGCGGGGUUAAGGUGCCAGAAUAUACGCUCAUCAGACACCACAAAAGGUGUUAGUUCAUCUAGACAGCAGGACGGUGGCCAUGGAAGUCGGAAUCCGCUAAGGAGUGUGUAACAACUCACCUGCCGAAUGAACUAGCCCUGAAAAUGGAUGGCGCUCAAGCGUAUUACCCAUACCCCGCCGCCGGGGCAGAAUUUAAGCCCCGGCGAGUAGGCAGGCGUGGAGGCUCGUGACGAAGCCUUGG